CUUUUUACUUGACUUUGCAGUCUUAGUGCUCUCUUCAGGCUUUUCAAGGUCAGUUUCCAUAAAAUCUUCUUCUUCUUCAGCAUCAUCUUUCUUCACAAUCUGUUUCUUUGAUGCUGAACCCUUCUGUGCUUUCUCCUUUUUACUUGACUUUGCAGUCUUAGUGCUAUCCUCAGGCUUUUCAAGGCUAGUUUCCAUAAUAUCUUCUUUUUCUUCAGGUUCAUCUUUCUUCACAAUCUGUUUCUUUGAUGCUGAACCCUUCUGUGUUUUCUCCUUUGCGGUCUUAGUGCUAUCUUCUUCAGGUUCAUCUUUCUUCACAAUCUGUUUCUUUGAUGCUGGUGUGGCUACAGAACCUGCAUCAAGAUCUGUCUCUUCCAUCUUACUCCUGCUCCGUUUCCGUGACCCCUUCCUAGCCUUACUCGAGGGUGAGAGAGAAAUAACAACCGAC
rnacentral:lncRNA from 1 species